AUCACUCACACCCACUUUGCAUGGACACCUAUAUCAAAUUGAUUGUUGUUUACAAGGCCUUGGAACUAGACUAGUUCCUCAUGGCCCUUACUUCACUGUUAUGUAUCACACAAUGACAAGACAGAUUGUCAUCAGUUAACCAAUAAGAAGGACAAAAAAUAAAGAAAAGAAAAGGAAACUGAUAUGGAUAAACUUAAACAAAAUUGCCAAAGACAACACAAGUUAAAAAUGUAACGCCA